AUGCUAGAGCACUUUUUCAAUGUGCUCCCCAACGAGAAGGCGACAACGCAUUCAUAUGUCAAUCCAUAUCAACUUUCGAUGCCAUUGACUGCGCCUACCAUGGUGACCACAGGUAACAGGGAAUUAGGGUUCGAUUCCAUACAGGGACCCUGACAAACGGCUACCACAUGAAAGGAAGGCA